rnacentral:lncRNA from 1 species
AGUGUUUCCAGGACGGCAGCCUGUGUGAAGUGCUAGGGAAAGCCUUUUCAUGCCUUGAAAAAUACACACAAGUAUUUCUCUUCCUGAGCUUCAAGGAGACUCUGCAUUCAAAAGACCACUCCCGGGCACUGCCUUCUACCAACUUCCCCAUCCAGCUCUGAUUGCAUCGGACCACUGUCUUCCCUCCAUGCCUCCAGCCCUGAGGUUGUCAACGGGGUGCUCCAGCCUCCAUGUGCACCCUGUGACUUCUUUCAUCCUAGUCCUUCUGACCCUCGUGGCUUCUCCUGCUCCAAGGCCAAGCUCGGGACCCUGUCAUCAUCCCCGGGGACAGGCCCCAUCUUAGAGAGGAUCCACCCAGCUCCCCGCUCCUGAGCCAUCUUCCAGCUAUCCCGCCUCGAGACUCCCACCGCACCUGCUCCUGGGCUGCAGCUGCACCCAACAAGUCAACAUGUGGAUUGCUUCUAGAAUUUGGAUAUUAUGAACACUGCUGUGCUGAACAUUCUUGUACACUUAUAUGGUUUGGCUGUGUCCCCACCCAAAUCUCAUCUUGAAUUGUAGCUCCCAUAAUUCCUAUGUGUCGUGGGAGGGACCCAAUGGGAGGUAAUUGAAUCAUAGGGGCAGGUCUUUCCCCUGCUGUCCUUAUG